CCACUUAGGUCACGUGUGGUAACAGAAGAAAAAUGUGUACUCUCGCCAGCUCUGUCCAGGUGGCACAGGGAAGCACAGGGUUCUGUCCCACAGUGUGCAGUCCCUUUCCACGUUGGAAAAGCCACUGUGUCUGUGCCUGUGUAUUCCUACAACUUCUCAGAGCCUUUGGGCAAUGACUGAGGAGAUAAACUAUGCAGGAAACAAUA
ensembl:snoRNA SNORA73 Small nucleolar RNA SNORA73 family